UUUCCCUCAGGAUAGCUGGCACUCGCUUGAGCGAGUCUCAUCUGGUAAAGCGAAUGAUUAGAGGCCUUGGGGCCGAAACGACCUCAACCUAUUCUCAAACUUUAAAUGGGUGAGAUCUCUGGCUUGCUUGAACGUUGAAGCCACGAGAUUAUGGAUCAGAGUGCCAAGUGGGCCAAUUUUGGUAAGCAGAACUGGCGCUGUGGGA
rnacentral:rRNA from 1 species